rnacentral:rRNA from 1 species
UACGGGGGGGGCAAGCGUUGUUCGGAAUUACUGGGCGUAAAGGGCUCGUAGGCGGCCAACUAAGUCAGACGUGAAAUCCCCAGGCUCAACCUGGGAACUGCGUCUGAUACUGGAUGGCUUGAAUUCGGGAGAGGGACGCAGAAUUCCAGGUGUAGCGGUGAAAUGCGUAGAUAUCUGGAGGAAUACCGGUGGCGAAGGCGGCAUCCUGGACCGACAUUGACGCUGAGGAGCGAAAGCUAGGGGAGCAAACGGG